AGCACCAAACGUGGCUGGUAAAGGGCAACCAGCUCCUCAAACUUUGCUGAAAAUUAUGAGGCUUUGGGGUGGCACUUCAGGCUGCUGGUAGCUGGAAAACUGUUCUAACCCAGACUCCGAGGCUGAGGAGCUGUCACGUAUGCACUAGACAAUGGUUUCUGUGUAGACUGGAACCACAAAAUUGCAUUGACAGUUUCUGAGGUGCUCUCGUCCUCUGGCACUGGUGGCUGGGAACACAGAGAUUUCACAAGCAGAUCUUCAUUUCCACAAGUCAUUUAAGUAGUCUGCUAAAAUCUUUUAUGUUUCUCCUUGAGUUUACAGUGCCCGAAACACAGUGAGAAUUGGGCUGUACCACGGAUGUCUUCAUAGUCCAAAACCGAGGCACUUCCUGGGAGCCACAGGACCUGCAAGGAGGCAGAAACACUUGGGACAGUGGUGAGAAAGGAAAUUUCAACCUGUCAAGUAACUGAGAAGGAGACCUCUGCAGAGCCAGUCCUGCUCCCUCACCAGGAGACUUGCAGCAGCCUUGCUUAUCCCUGAGAGGUACUGAAGUCUUAAUAAGGAUGGGGGGAAGGAAAGCAUCUGUCCCACUGCAGAUCUUCCUCAUGGCCCUUCACUGGAGUCUCCUGGAAAGAAUUGCCACAGUCUUUUAGAGGCGUUUUAACAGCAUCUACUCUCUGAAGACAUCUGCUGAAAGUGAUGUAGGUACCCAAAUCAGUUUGGGCUAGCCUGGCAUUUCUCCCAGUGUUCUGACUCAAAGAUGAAAUGUGCUGCUAUCAUUUACAAGAUGUUCACAAAGCCACUCUGCACAAGAGGAGACUGCACAACGUGCUACCAUUCGAAAUCUAUUUAUAGUGUUUUUCCCCAUUAAAACAACAAACCUUGGCAGCUACCAUCUACUCUUUUCUGUUUUGCAGCCAGCCAAUUAUAUCACUUAGAAUGCACUUAAUUAACAAGUAUGCAAGUUCAAGGCACUGCCUUUGUGUGUAGUUGUAGUUGUGCCUCAGGAAAAAGUUACUUUUGUCUUCCCUUCCGUGUGUUUAUUUCCUCCACUGUUUUUGUUAAUUCUUCCUCCAUGCAGUAACUUCCUCGUAAACAUUAUUUUAGCAGUGACCUCAGAGUAUUCUGAGUGCCUUCUAAAAGUCAGAUAUUAAAAUAAUUCAGUUGCCUCAAUCUCUUAGUGUGACCUUCAGUCACAAGAAUAGCUCCGAUGGUUUGAGUGGGAAGAUCUGCAAGAGUGAAAAUUGCUCCAGUGAAUCUGGGCCUGACAAACCAUAUUCUGUUUUUGUGGAUUACCAGAUGGAAGAGCUCCUGUAAGGCCAGCAGUCAUGAUGGGAGACAUGCUGGCUGUAGAGGGGAAGGAAACAAUGGGAUGGCCUUGGGCAUGGUCUAACUAUCCCAGCACAACCAAAUGACCUUGCAGAGCAUUUAUGAUGCACUGAGCCCAUAGCAGCAGCCUGGUUUCUUUGUUCUCAAACUAUAACUGCUCUUGCUGGUGGGGUGUGUCACCCUCUAAAGCUCAGUAAAGAGGAGGCUCACUGGGAUUUAGGUAUUUAGGUGGCUCUGCCCACAAAUACACACAGAAACACACCAACACCUAGUGAAAUGUGUUAGAAUUGGUGCCUGACAUAGUUAGUCACAAUGUUUACAGAAACUAGGCUGUGAUGAUUCAGGAUUGUGAUGCAAAUAUCACAGUUUCAGGGUGGCUCUAGAUGAAAGGCUUUCCCAUUAUAAUGUUUUUUCUCUCUAGUGAUAAAUUUCUUAUGGCAUUGACAUUUUUAUGCUUAACAAAGUGAGUGCCACAAAGCGCAAGUUUGGAACUUCAUUUUCCUGUAGUUUCAGUAAAAGCAAGACCAUAGAUUGUGAAGAACAAAGCACAGAUACAUCUAAUGAGUGUUAACAAAAUUUAGGAUAACAAUGAAAGUUUCAAUUUCGUAUGAUUCAAUAUGAUUUAUUGAAUCAAUGGGUUUAAGAUUUUGCAUUGAGUCCUACAGAUAAAAUAAAUUAA